GAAAAGAUGUAAACCAUAAUAGAAAGUACCGAUGAUUUUAUUCAAUUUCACACCUUUGACACCUAAUCCUAAUUUCAUUUUUCUAAAGACAAAUUGAUACGAAUACAUAAGAAAAAACAGAAUCAGAUCGAUGAAUGAGGAGGAUUAAACACAAAUUCAUUUUUCAACAACUGAAUACGAACAUGAAGAGUGACACAUACCAGAUCGAUGAAUGACGCAGAUGAGGGUAGUCGACUAGUCGCAGCUUCUAAACUUAUGGCUAUUUGCAGUUUUAACCCAGAACUUAUGGCUAUUUGCAAUUUUAACCCACAUCUUGCUUAA
rnacentral:lncRNA from 1 species